GAGUCAUAAAAUAUUCUGUCUUGGGAGAGAGCCUGAGUGCUUGCUGCACUUGUUGCUAUGGCAGCUGGACAGUUUUAAGAAAUGCAAAUCACAAGUCUUUGGCUCAUAGGGUCUUCUUUUUUCAGGACCAGCAGUAAUUUCCCAGGGAUUUUUUUCUUUGCCAUUGUAAGUCUCUCUUGCACUGCUCCCCUCUUGGUUUCUCUGAGACUCUGAUAGUUUCUCUUUACCCUCAUUUUAUAAGUGAACAGUGGACUCCUACUUAUGAAGCUUAUGAGACUUUGUGACCUCGGGAUGAUGUUGCAAGAGAACUCUUGCCAGAUGCUGGCACCUUGAUGUUGGCACCAGCCUCCAAGACUCUGAAAAACACAGAGAAGAGAGAAUGUUUUCUGACAUAGGCGUGUCUGCAGGAUGGCAGGCUGUCACCACAAAGAAGAAAACCCACCAGUAUUGGAAGACUUCCCUUUGCUCAUGGAGUUUGCUAGAUUAUGCUGCCCUGCAGGUUUCUCCUAUGUGCAGGGAGCAACUCCUCCAUUGGGCUUUCUUCCUCCUGAUGGAACAGAUGAAGGAGGUUAGUGGGAUGAUUUACAGAUGCCCUGGCUGCUGUUGACCUUGGUGCCACAAUUGGUAAGUACCCUCUUCCUCAUCCAUUGUCCAUUCUAAAUCCCUCUCAUCCUGAGCUGUUACCUUGGGUCAUGGUAACCUAUCUGGUAGUGUGAUCCAGAUCUUUGUAUCUGAACAACACGAAAAGUUGAUUUUCAUACCCUUCUCACUAGGGAUGUUGCACCUGUCUGUUCACAGUUAAUAGACAGUGCCAGGAGGUGGUUACAUAUAUCGCUUGGGUUCCCCAUGUGUCCUCCUGUCUCCAUUGUGUAAAAGCAGCUCUACCCUCCUGCUGGUCAAGGACAAUUACAUAUCAGUAUGGUAAUUCUUCUUUUCACCUGCAAUCCCAGGGUAAAGGGUGGAAAGUGCCCUGGUGACAGCCGUAACUUGUACUUCAAUGGUGACUUUGCUGUGUCCCCUUUGUAGAAUGUGUCCCCUACAGGACCAAGACCUGCAAUCCUGCAGAGGCUAGGGUUUCAGGGACAGGAAACACAUUGGGAGUGAUAUGUGGAGACACUCCUGUUUCCAUCCCUUGGUUCCUGCACUCGUGUAUCCUUAUUGGAAAUGGUGCCUUACAACGUCUCUGUAAAUGUACUGUCUCCUGAAGGAUGUAUCCCAUUCUUUCAGAAUAUUUCCUGCAAGCUGGCAUUUCAGCUGCCAGAUCGUCUCACAGAUAAGGAGCACGAGAUAUUAUCCUCUACAUUCUGUCUCUUGUUGGCUGUGAAUGGCUCGUAAGAGCUUUAACUCCCUUCGUUUACAGCCUUUGAUAGGCAGAAAAAGGCUUCAAGCAGAGUGACACCUGUCCUUGAAAUCUGAAGCCAUCCGUCCUUGUGGGAAUUGUCCACCAAAGUGGCAGUUGACAUUUAGGAUAGACAAACAAGUAUUUCACUGGCUUUUGGCAUUGCCCCUUAGUUUCCUGACAAUCCCUGCUAACUUCUGAGCAUCUUCCUGUAAAAAGAAAAAAAAAAGUAUGAUGUGACUUCAUAUUGCUUGCCUUUAAAAAAUAUGCUUAAUUUUCCAGUUGGAUUUCUCCUUACGUCAGCUUCCAAGUCCUUUAACACCUCCCUCUCUUACCAGCACUCUAGAAUUAAGCAUCAAAGAUUCGUAAUUAUUUUUUAUUAGCAGAUAUAGCUAGCCUAAAAUUUUAUAGGUUUUCCUUUGUCACAGAUACCUCCCUUACAAAGGGAAAUUAAUUUAAAUUCUAAAACACAUGUAAGUGAAGCAUAAUUUACUUUUGAAACAGCUACAAAAUGACUGUAUCAUGUGGGUUCCAAGUGCUACUGUCUGCCUCGCUCUGGGCAUUGAGUUAUAAGUCAUUCAAGGUGUAUCUUGAUGGGGAAGGGAAAGGGAGAAAGUGAGCAGGAAAAUACAUCCUCAGUGAUUUUAAUCUCAGGAUGUGAACAUUUCUUGUCCAAUAUAUGCAUAAAUUCCUGGGGAUUUCCUCACACAAAGAAUUGUAUGUCCAAUGAUGCUUGGUGACCUAUCAGGCACAGUUGUAAGGGACUAUGAUUUAGAAAAAGGGGGAUUUAUGUUUUG